AGAGUUUGAUCCUGGCUCAGGAUGAACGUUGGCGGUGUGCCUAAUACAUGCAAGUCGAACGGUGACGAUUUUGUAGCAAUACGAAUGAAAUCAUAGUGGCGAACGGGUGAGUAACGCGUUGGUGAUCUGCCUCGAAGUGUGGAAUAACUUCCCGAAAGGGUAGCUAAUACCGCAUAGUCUCUCAAGGUUAGAAAAUUGAGAGUAAAGGAUUUAUUCGCUUCGAGAGGAGCCUGCGUCCCAUCAGCUAGUUGGUAGGGUAAUAGCCUACCAAGGCAAUGACGGGUAGGGGACCUGAGAGGGUGGCCCCCCACAAUGGAACUGAAACACGGUCCAUACACCUACGGGUGGCAGCAGUAGGGAAUAUUAGAAAUGGGCGAAAGCCUGAUCUAGCAACACCGCGUGUGCGAUGAAGGCCUUCGGGUUGUAAAGCACUUUUUGGAGGGAAUAGGAAGGAAGGUACCUCCAGAAUAAGCCUCGGCUAACUACGUGCCAGCAGCCGCGGUAACACGUAGGAGGCAAACGUUAUCCGGAUUCACUGGGCGUAAAGCGCGUGUAGGUGGUUCUGUAAGUAGGGCGUGAAAGCUCCCGGCUCAACUGGGAGAGGCCGUACUAAACUGCAGAGCUAGAGGAUGGUAGAGGGAGGUGGAAUUCCAGGUGUAGUGGUGAAAUGCGCAGAUAUCUGGAGGAACACCAGUGGCGAAGGCGGCCUCCUGGACCAUUCCUGACACUCAGACGCGAAAGCUAGGGUAGCAAACGGAAUUAGAGACUCCGGUAGUCCUAGCCCUAAACGAUGCAGACUAGGCGUCGGCGGUUUAAUCACCGUCGGUGUCCAAGCUAACGCGAUAAGUCUGCCGCCUGAGGACUACGGCCGCAAGGCUAAAACUCAAAGGAAUUGACGGGUCCCCGCACAAGCAGCGGAGCGUGUGGUUUAAUUCGAUGCUCCGCGAAGAACCUUACCUGGGUUUGACAUAACAGUGGUAGAGAAGUGAAAACGGAUCGAUCCUUCGGGGAGCUGUUACAGGUGUUGCAUGCCUGUCGUCAGCUCGUGUCGUGAGAUGUUCGGUUAAGUCCGCUAACGAGCGCAACCCGCGCUGUGUGUUACAAGUGUCACACAGUACCGCCGGUAUUAAGUCGGAGGAAGGUGCGGAUGACGUCAAGUCAGCAUGACCUUUAUAUCCAGGGCUACACACACGCUACAAUGGUCAGAACAAUAGGUUGCCAAGCCGCAAGGCGGAGCCAAUCCUCCAAAUCUGGCCUCAGUUCAGAUUGCAGGCUGCAACUCGCCUGCAUGAAGUCGGAGUUGCUAGUAAUCGCGAAUCAGAAUGUCGCGGUGAAUACGUUCUCGGGCCUUGCACACAGCGCCCGUCAAG
rnacentral:rRNA from 1 species